UAAGGAAUAUUGGACAAUGGAGGCAACUCUGAUCCAGCCAUGCCGCGUGAAGGAAUAAGGCCCUAUGGGUUGUAAACUUCUUUUAGACGGGACAAAACCCCUUUACGUGUAAAGGGUUGAUGGUACUGUCAGAAUAAGCAUCGGCUAACUUCGUGCCAGCAGCCGCGGUAAUACGAAGGAUGCAAGCGUUAUCCGGAAUUAUUGGGUUUAAAGGGUGCGUAGGCGGACUAAUAAGUCAGUGGUGAAAGCCUGCAGCUUAACUGCAGAAUUGCCAUUGAUACUGUUAGUCUUGAGUACAGUUGAGGUAGGCGGAAUGUGUCAUGUAGCGGUGAAAUGCUUGGAUAUGACACAGAACACCGAUUGCGAAGGCAGCUUGCUAAGCUGUAACUGACGCUGAGGCACGAAAGCGUGGGGAGCAAACA
rnacentral:rRNA from 1 species